UGGCAUAGUGGUUAAGUGCUAUGGCUGCUAACCAAAUGGUUGGCAGUUCGAAUCUGCC
rfam:Loxodonta africana unplaced genomic scaffold scaffold_27, whole genome shotgun sequence.